rnacentral:rRNA from 1 species
AUUGAACGCUGGCGGCAGGCCUAACACAUGCAAGUCGAGCGGAUGAAGGGAGCUUGCUCCUGGAUUCAGCGGCGGACGGGUGAGUAAUGCCUAGGAAUCUGCCUGGUAUGGGUGUAUAACGUCCUGAAACGGGCGCUAAUACCGCAUACUUCCUGAUGGAGAAAGUGGGGGAUCUUCGGACCUCACGCUAUCAGAUGAGCCUAGGUCGGAUUGGCUAGUUGGUGGGGUAAAUGCCUACCAAGGCGACGAUCCGUGACUGGUCUGAGAGGAUGAUCAGUCACACUGGAAGUGAGACACGGUCCAGAGUCCUAAGGGAGGCAGCAGUGGGGAAUAGUGGACAAUGGGCGAAAGCCUGACACAGCCAUGCCGAGUGUGUGAAGAAGGUCUUCGGAUUGUAAAGCACUUUAAGUUGGGAGGAAGGGCAGUAAGUUAAUACCAUGCUGUUUUGACGUUACCAACAGAAUAAGCACCGGCUAACUUCGUG